GCCGCGUUCGUCUAGCCCGGCCCAGGACACGUGGUUCUCAGCCACGGAACACCGGUUCAAAUCCGGUACGCGGCACAA
rnacentral:tRNA from 1 species